GACGAACCGUGCGAACGUUGUUCGGAUUCACUGGGCUUAAAGGGCGCGUAGGCGGCUCGCCAAGUCAGGGGUGAAAUCUCCCGGCUCAACCGGGAAACAGCUUCUGAUACUGGCGGGCUGGAGGGAGGUAGGGGCGGAUGGAACUUCCGGUGGAGCGGUGAAAUGCGUAGAUAUCAGGAGGAACACCAGUGGCGAAGGCGGUGAUCUGGGCCGGUACUGACGCUGAGGAGCGAAAGCGUGGGGAGCGAACAGG
rnacentral:rRNA from 1 species